UGGCGUUCUAGGAUUCAUAUAGCCGACCCCACUUAGUGGGAAAAGGCUUUGUUGUUGUUGUUGUUGUUGUAUGUGCACCAAAGGUCCACAUGAAAGAAAUCGAUUAUUCCUAUUUCAUGAGUUUCAGUUUCAACUUUUAUGUGGAGUUAUUCUUAUAAGAGAACGUCUCGAAUAGCACAAGAUCAACGAUUGUAGAAAAGCAACUAUUCUUUGAAGAUUAAUAAUCUCUAUAUUUCUUCCUUAAUUUUCUUCAGUCAUAAUAUUAGUUGUUUAUUCUUUACUUUUCAUUAUAUUUCUACGAAUACUAUAUGAACACAACUGAAAUAAGGAUGAUCUCCUAUGCUUAUGAGGCUUCCGCCUUGAAUCGCCACCUUUGAUUUGGUUUCGUUUGAAUGCCAGAUUAUUUUUUCGGUUUUGAUUUUAUUGUAUAACAGGCAACUAUUCAUCUUCUUAAUAUGCCUUAAUUUUUCAUUUAGUACUACGGUCUAGUGGUAUUCCUCUUCGCUUGUAAGUGAGAGGUCUUAUGUUCAAUUCUUACCAAAUGCGAAUUUGAACCACAUUAUUGCUAGCCUAUUGUGAGGCUAAGCUCACCCCCUCCCCCUUUAAUGUAAAUAAUAUCGCUUAUUAAAAAAAAAAUAUAUGCCUUAAUUUCAUAUUCAUAACCAAAACGAAAAUGAAACAAAAGGUUACCUUAUUUAUUACUUAUGGUUUGCCUCGUUUUCAAUUCCUUACCUCAUUAAUACAACUUUGAUUCUAUUAAUCAAUGAAUUGGCAUACGUUGGUUUCAUCCACAUCUUUUACGUUCUUAUUUCUCAUGUGCUAAUCUUAAUAUAAUCUCAUUAUGUGGUUACUUAAUAAAUGAGAUUCCAUUAUGUAUUACUUGAAGUUCCUUGAUGCUUAAUUCGGAUAUUAGUUCGUCAAUCAAUUCUAUGUCACUCGUAUUUUGAGGGACUUGCACUCCCAUGUGUAAUUGAGUUUCAUUAUAAGAAAUCAAGAUUUGCAGUCCUUCUAACACUCAUCUUAUAACAAGAACCGGACCUUAGUCCAUUGGUCUUUCAUUUUCAUAAUAUGAGUAGGAGGCAUGCAGCCCCAAUAAUAUUGAAUAUAAAGUUCAUAUUCACACAAUCGGGAAUCUAUAACUCAUUGCGCCCAUACCAAAAUGGUUAUAUCAAUAUGUCGGAUUUAGUGGGCAUUCCACACCUUGGGCUUUCUUUUUUUCCGACACUGAUCAAUAAAUUCUUUUGUCCCUUUUCUAGAAAAUUGUACAUCCUAGUGACAAAUAGUUUAUAAAUGAGAACUUAUAGUUCAUUGAUUCUAAAUAAUUGAGGACUUGAAAUUGCUCGAUUUUAAUUGCAUAAACAACCCAACCUAUUUUUUGUGGAUGUGUCUAGGCAUUGAGCAUGGCUCUGCCGUAAAACAAAACAUUCAGUAUAUUCCUUUGCACAUCUUGAUUAAAAACAAAGGAAAAAUGGUUGAGACAAAUUGACAUUUCUCCCAUGAUUAUUUUAUACUCGGUGGAUCUAACCCAUUUCGAGAUUUCAAACUUAUUCUAACUAAUAAACCAUUACUAGUGGUUGAGUUCAAUCUCCCACAUUUUUGAACUUAGCAAGACAUUAACCAAAUGUUGGCAUGCUUAUAUAAGUAAUGUACGCAUAUAUUGUCAUGAACCGUAAGUUCAUUAACCAAAUGAUGGUUGAUAAGUGAAUUUUAUAUUAUAUAUUUAACCCUAUUUUUAGUAUGUUCUGGUUAAUAUUUUGGAAGAAUUUUGAUACUUUGAAUUGUAUUUUCAAUAUAGGACUUUCGACUUCCUCUGGAGCAAAACGUGGACAAAUGGACUAAUUUUGGAGUAAUUCCAGUUUCAAGACGUUCGUGAGCCACUUAGCUUGAUCGUAUCAAAAAUUGGGAUUUUCCAUCAAGUGGUUAUUUUUUGGCGAUAAAAUAAAGGAGCGAUGCGCGGUGCUGGAAAAUGACGGUUCUGGGCUUAAAUUGCGUUUUUGGAGCUCAAGAUGACCUCGGAUGGUUUCAUGGCCUUCUGGAGAUGUGUUCGGAACGUCCUGAUCUUUAAAACAAGCUAUCUUGGGCCGGAUUUGGAGGAGAUCUGAGACUAAAACGUGGCUGGACAAGUACUUGACAGAUUCUCCUAGUUUAAUUAGGGUUUUAUUUUCUAAGAUAUUUUAUUAUUUUUCUUAGUUUCCUAGUUGAAAUAAGAAACCUAUGUCUUAGGGUUUGUGAGGGCUGAGCAAAUAUAUUGCUUUGGCCGUCUACAGUUUUUCACUACGCUUAUUAUUAUUCAACUUCAGAGACAAAGAACUUGGCUAGGGUUCUUGGAGAUUUUACACUUUAAGGUGUUUUCAUUCCUUUUAUUCUUAAUAAUAUUUUCUAUGAUUUUAAUUAUGAAUAUGCAUAACUAAUUCCUUUUGCUAGGGCGAAGCCUUGAGCCUUAGCAUGAAUAUGUAAUUUUUUUUUAAUUGCUUAUGAUUGAUUGCAUGCAUACUUUGAAUUAUUGAUCAAUGUUCCAAACUAUCUAAUUAUCUUGAUGAUUGGCCACCAUUAGGAUGUUUAGACAAGUAAUUGGAUGCAAUUCGGUUGGAAUAUCACCGGAGGAUUGAGUAUUGCUUCUUGUGAUUGAUAAUUGUAAUUUCAUCUAAGGCGAAUAUCACGCUCUUAGGGGUUGCAUAGUUCUUCAAAAGGUUUUCAUAAAACUUAAUGAGUCUUGCAUGUUCAUAUUUGAUCUGAAUAUCAUAGACGUAUUGCAUGUUAGAUAUACGUUUUUGCUUGAAUAUCACGAGGAGAAUAUAUAUUAGGAAAACCUAACCUUCGAAGUGGAAUGUGUAAAUCAUAAGUAAUUAGUAGAAAUUCAUAGGAUUGCUAGGUGAUGGUGGAACCCUAGUGCCUUUAUAAAUUGGUAUUUAAAAUUCUUUUCUUCGAUUAUAUUAGUAUUUGUUUAAAAUUCGUUUUUAAUAUUACCCACUCUCAAACUCUCUUUUCUCAAGUUUUAAUUCUAAGUGUUUAAUUAGGAAUUGUUUCUACAUAAAUUAUCCAAAUAGUCCUUGAGGAAAACGACCUUGCAUGAGCAUCUAUACUACAAUAUCCUUGUAUUCUUGCAAGUAUUUCAUGUGAUUUUGACCCUAUUUGCAUAGAUGUUAAAAAUCCUAUCAAUGGUCAUGCUUAUCAUAUUCAUUCAUCAUCUACAAUGAUGUGUUGGAUUAUUACAAAUUCAAAUGGACAUAUUUUGAGGCCUCAACACAAUGAAUUGUGCACGCCUCUGUAAGAAUUGCUCAAACAAAAACUUGGUCCUCGGACAAUCUAAAAUUGACCUUGGAUCAUGUAUUUCUUAUCGAAAAUUUAUAAGUGCGUUUGUGAGCUUAUUCAACAUCUUAUUGUGGAUUAUUUAAUUAGUAACCUUGAUGUAUCUACAUGACAACCAAUCUUUUAUUCGCUUGCUACUACAAGUGAAAUUCUCAAAUUUUGUUGGUUUUUUCAUGUCAUUUGGGAUUAAUUUUGAGCAUACAAUUUUUCAUGGC
rnacentral:lncRNA from 1 species